rnacentral:lncRNA from 1 species
GUAAAUUAUUCACUAACUAUGUUUUUAGCUUUGUAAAUAGUUUAUAUUUAAUAUUUUAUGUAUAUGUCCAAACAUUCGAUGUGAUAGAAGUUAAAGUUAACCGCUUGAAACCAAAUAAGGCCUUAAAAAUCUCAUCAAAGUUCCUGAAUCCAAUCUCAUGAGCCAGAUACGUAUUAUUGCACCAAAGGAUGACAUCGAUCAGAUGCAUGCUCGUCGUUGCUCACGUCUCGCUUUCACAUGACACUAUAACAAAUAUAAGCUCCCAGGAUCUUUGGACAGGUUGGGAAUAUGCAGUCCAGCCAAGAGCAGAAAAUGUUCAGGACAAACCAAUUCUUGGAUCAGUACAGAGACUAAUGCCUCUUUAGUUGGGCCUCCCAAGUCCAAACCUGUUUUGGCUUUUGAAAAGCCAAAAGUCAAUAAUCAAAGGGGAAAAUUCCACUAUUGUUUUUAGAAGAGAGCUGUUUUUGUAGUAUACAAUUUUCACAGCAGGUGGAGAGGGUUUUGUUGCUGGUCUGCUGUUGGCUGAUUUAUUGUGAGAGAAAAACACUACAUUCUGGCAGAAAAGGUACGGCUGAAAAGAAAAAAAAAACAAGCUAGUAUAGAACAUUAAAUAUAGAUAAAAAUAAUAAUUAAUUGCACGGUUUGUCUGUACUUUAUGUAACACCCUAAAAUUUGCUCUUUUCAAAAUAGAUGAAAAUUUAUUCAGUUUUGUAUUUUGUGCUCAUGAAAAUAUAAGGAAAAUAAUAUUUUUCAUUAAAUUAAAAUUUAUCAUAAGCCUUAGCAAUAUUGUUGUGCAU